rnacentral:pre_miRNA from 1 species
GAUUUCAACUGAAAAAGUUAUCAACAACAAAGCUGAAUAACUCAUCAAGAUCUAAAACUUUUAUUUUGGUUAUUUCUUCAUCUGAUAAAGGGAUAGUAACAUUGUUCACAAAAUUGACAUAUCUCUUAUCUGGUUUUAUAAACUAUAACACAUAUAUGUAAAAUUUGUGAACAAUGUUACUAACAUUUUGUCAGAUGAAGAAAUAACAAAAAUAAAAGUUAUAGAUAGUGAUGAGAUAUACAAAUUUGUUGUUGAUGAUUUUUUCAGUUGAAAUU